GCUGUGUCAGACUCUGGAGAGAGUCUCGAGUUUUCAUUAUUCAGUAUUUCAAGCAUUCAGGCAGAUGGCAUCCCUUCCUGCUCCAGAGUUUGAAAUAACAGCUCCCAGCUAGUGGAGGAAGAGCCUGAACACACCGAGAGCAAAACCACUCAGAAGUGCCUGGAAUGGCACCAGCAGCGCUUGGGGAGAGAACAAAGCCUGGGCACAAGCGCGCUUCCUCAGCAGCUGAAGUGAAGACUGACAAUGCCACAUUCCCAGGGCAAAUCCUGUUCAGCAGAAACUCCGGCCAUCAGCUUGCUGCAGGAUAGUUCCUCCUCGCUCACAGAGCUGGCAUUUCUUUAAGCGCCCUUUUUCUGGCAGUAUUUGCAAUUCACACAGGGGACAGACCUGUGAAAAUCAGCACAGCUCCAAAGCCUUCUUUUGCCGUUCAGCCUUCCUGAUUUACAAGCGCUUCUUUCUGCGUGUGAGUGCUUCUUUUAGCUCCCUAUAUUGCAUCCUUGCAAUUCCUUAAAUGAGCAGCAAUUAUCCUGCUCUUUCAAGAUAUGCAUCUGCCAUCACCCAUUCACCAACACACUGCUUAGCAAUGUAUAAGAUAAAGACUAAAAGGCAUUUUCAGAAUUAAAAAAAAAAAUCAGUUUGAAAUAUCUCCACUGAAUUCCAAUGGUUUAUUUACUUCAUGGUGAUCAAGAGAUCACUGGCCUUUUACUUUCACUCACAGAGACAAGUAUUUGUUAUCAGAUGGUAAACAAAAGUUUAGUUGUACAUGGAUAAUUCAUAUUGAACUUCAAUACAAAAUGAAUGCUAUCCAAGGCUGCUUCAGAGAAUGGUUUAUUGUGAAACUUCACAGAUGAAACUUCCUUAUUAAAAAAAAAAAAAAAAGUUCUGCAUUUCGAGCAGCUCCCAUUUUAAUGAAUUGAGUUAAAGGGCUGGUUUCCUUCGUGCCACUUCUCUUGUCAUUUACUCCAGGCAGUGACAGAGCAGGACAUUUUUCCUAGUGGACAGUGUUUGGAUUUUUGCUGGGUGCUCAUGGGGAGACGAUUAAUAUUUUUUGUAUUUUUUAUUUCACAACAUAUCCAGACUUUGAAAACUUGCCAGGUUUUGCCUUCAGUUUUGCUUAAAACAUUAGUCUACAAAGCACCAAUAAGCAUCUCAAACUAAACUAAUAUCUGCAUGUCAUUACUUAUAAAUGUGUAGCUGCUUGCCUGGAGGCAGAAGAGCCAUGAUACUGCUACCAUUGACUGUUAUUUAUAGGUAACCUUUUCUGGUUUAGCAUUUCUGCUGUAUUUUUUUUCCCAGAUUUUGAUUUUGCCUGCCCCUGAUACUGCAUGCAGCUCCACUUUCACCCUCACAGCUCUGGCCAAAGGGGGUCAGCUGAGAACCAGCCUUGGAGCAUCCCCCAGGGCCUGGCUGGGCUCGGUUACCAGCACUUCCGAGCACAAAUAUGCAAAGUUUAAUGAAGUCAGUGGAAAGACUCCUACUGGCUUUGGGUUAGCUUCAGAUCCAGAUGUAAAUUAUGGGAAUGUGAUUUUAUUUCCAUUACUCGUCCGCAAUAUUUUUUCCCUGUGUUAACAACAUAGCUCCUUUUUAAACAAUGACAGAAUUGGUCUUUCCAGUCAAGUGAUCCAUUUGUCAGUAAAUUACACUGCAGUAUGACCAGAUAGGCAUCCUAAGAUUGCUGCUGGAUGGAAAAAGGUGAAAAGCCUCUUUCUGGGUUUGUGGGCAGUCAUUGGCUUCAGGGGAAUCAUCCAGUAUCCUGUCACUCUUUGUAUUCAGCAUUUUGAAGUUGGGGAAUUGUUGUCCUGCCUUUCCAGAAGAACAAUGGUAUCUUCUUUCUGGAAGAUAAAUCGGAGCUCUAGGAAAUGAUAGGAAAACUGGUCUCUUGUGAGUCCCCAGCUGGCCAGUGGCAGAAGGAAUAUCAACAUAGGAAUCUGUAGCUCAUGUCCCAUUUCUGCUCUCUCUGUUCAUGUGACAUUUCCAGACUGUGUCACAGAAGAAAGCCCUUAGGAAGUGCACAGGAAUCAGGAUUUUGUCAGUUUAACAAGUUUAAAGAAAUACAUGUUCUCUGGAAUCAAAAGCACAGGCCCUGAAAACAAAAGGACUCCUAUCCAGGCAGUUUAUUUUGAAGCUAUAAAGUGAUUGCUUUCCCUACACAUUCAUUUAAAUAAAAUAAAGAUGUAAAGAAAUAGUGGGAAGUAAUUAAAGGGAUCUAAAUUAAAAACAAAAAAAAAAA